CUUGAUGCAAAUUAUUGACGAACGGCUGUCAACAAUAUCAAGACAACAAUUAAAUGUUUCAUCGUUUGACAGAUAAAUACCCUACUAUUAGUUAUUUUUUAAAGCGUCAUAACUUCAUUUUUUUCCAAAUGUGCUUGUCAAACGUGCAGGUGGAUACCAAAUGCUGAACACACUAUGGCUGGUCAUGAAGUCAGCCUGUUCUUUGGGAUCCGGGCGUUUUUCCUCAGUCUCGUGGAGGUAUUGUUCCAGUCUCAUUCCUUCCUUAUAUGAUAAAUGUGAAGAUUUAAUAUCAGUACGUAGGUUUCCAGGACACAGUGUCUUUGUUUGGGAAGUCCAAACCACAAACUUGUUUACCUACAGGACUGGCAGCGACCAGAGAUGACUUGGACGAGAGAAACGGGUACAAAUAGCGGGAAGAUAACACUACACACUAACGUAAAACCAAAAAUCAUCCGAUCCUUCUACGCUCGCACCCUUGAUGGUAAAAGACGUGACUUCCGCCUGGUACAUCUACCGCCUGGAGAGCUGGGUCUUCAGCCCCACCCCGUCAUCUGGCUGCCUCAGGACGUGCUGGAUAU